AGAUUAAGUUAUUAAGGGCGCACGGUGGAUGCCUUGGCACUAGAAGCCGAUGAAGGACGUUACUAACGACGAUAUGCUUUGGGGAGCUGUAAGUAAGCUUUGAUCCAGAGAUUUCCGAAUGGGGAAACCCAGCAUGAGUUAUGUCAUGUUAUCGAUAUGUGAAUACAUAGCAUAUCAGAAGGCACACCCGGAGAACUGAAACAUCUUAGUACCCGGAGGAAGAGAAAGAAAAUUCGAUUCCCUUAGUAGCGGCGAGCGAAACGGGAAGAGCCCAAACCAACAAGCUUGCUUGUUGGGGUUGUAGGACACUCUAUACGGAGUUACAAAGGACGACAUUAGACGAAUCAUCUGGAAAGAUGAAUCAAAGAAGGUAAUAAUCCUGUAGUCGAAAAUGUUGUCUCUCUUGAGUGGAUCCUGAGUACGACGGAGCACGUGAAAUUCCGUCGGAAUCUGGGAGGACCAUCUCCUAAGGCUAAAUACUCUCUAGUGACCGAUAGUGAACCAGUACCGUGAGGGAAAGGUGAAAAGCACCCCGGAAGGGGAGUGAAAUAGAACCUGAAACCGUGUGCUUACAAGUAGUCAGAGCCCGUUAAUGGGUGAUGGCGUGCCUUUUGUAGAAUGAACCGGCGAGUUACGAUUUGAUGCAAGGUUAAGCAGUAAAUGUGGAGCCGUAGCGAAAGCGAGUCUGAAUAGGGCGUUUAGUAUUUGGUCGUAGACCCGAAACCAGGUGAUCUACCCUUGGUCAGGUUGAAGUUCAGGUAACACUGAAUGGAGGACCGAACCGACUUACGUUGAAAAGUGAGCGGAUGAACUGAGGGUAGCGGAGAAAUUCCAAUCGAACCUGGAGAUAGCUGGUUCUCUCCGAAAUAGCUUUAGGGCUAGCCUCAAGUGAUGAUUAUUGGAGGUAGAGCACUGUUUGGACGAGGGGCCCCUCUCGGGUUACCGAAUUCAGACAAACUCCGAAUGCCAAUUAAUUUAACUUGGGAGUCAGAACAUGGGUGAUAAGGUCCGUGUUCGAAAGGGAAACAGCCCAGACCACCAGCUAAGGUCCCAAAAUAUAUGUUAAGUGGAAAAGGAUGUGGCGUUGCCCAGACAACUAGGAUGUUGGCUUAGAAGCAGCCAUCAUUUAAAGAGUGCGUAAUAGCUCACUAGUCGAGUGACACUGCGCCGAAAAUGUACCGGGGCUAAACAUAUUACCGAAGCUGUGGAUUGUCCUUUGGACAAUGGUAGGA
rnacentral:rRNA from 1 species